rnacentral:rRNA from 1 species
UCAUUCGAGUAGCAAUACAAGAAUGGUUUAGUGGCGCACGGGUGAGUAACACGUGAAUGACAUGCCCUGCAGAGGGGGAUAGCCCAGGGAAACUUGGAUUAAUACCCCAUGGUAUCGCAAGAUUAAACGGUGGCCGCAAGGCUGUCGCUGCGGGAUUGGUUCGCGUUCUAUCAGCUUGUUGGCGGGGUAACGGCCCACCAAGGCUACGACGGAUACCUGGUCUGAGAGGACGAUCAGGCACACUGGAACUGAGACACGGUCCAGACACCUACGGGUGGCAGCAGUCGAGAAUAAUUCACAAUGGGGGCAACCCUGAUGGUGCAACGCCGCGUGGAGGAUGAAGGUCUUCGGAUUGUAAACUCCUGUCAUCCGGGAGCAAGACCUGACGGUCAAUAUCCGGCAGGGUUGAUAGUACCGGAAGAGGAAGGGACGGCUAACUUCGUGCCAGCAGCCGCGGUAAUACGAAGGUCCCGAGCGUUGUUCGGAAUCACUGGGCGUAAAGGGAGCGUAGGCGGCGUGGUAAGUCAGAUGCGAAAUCCCGGGGCUCAACCCCGGAACUGCAUCCGAUACUGCCGUGCUAGAGUGAUGGAGAGGUAGCUGGAAUUCACGGUGUAGCAGUGAAAUGCGUGGGAUAUCGUGAGGAACACUCGUGGCGAAAGCGAGCUACUGGACAUUUACUGACGCUGAGGCUCGAUGCCAGGGUAGCGAAAGGAUUAGAUACCCCUGUAGUCCUGGCAUAAACGGUGCACGCUUGGUGUGAGGGAAUCGACCCCCCUUGUGCCGGAGCAAACGCGUUAAGCGUG